CCGCCGCCUUCGCGGGAACUCGGCGUUUGAACGGUGGGGCGUGGCUGCAGCUGGCGCGGCUCUUCCAGGUGGGGCUUUCCGCGUUAGGAAGCUUCGAUUGGCUGUUGCCGGGAGGGGCAAGGACAAGGCUGAGGCCGGGGCGACUCCAGUUUAUAGGGUCUUCGUCUUCAGUCCCGGAGCUGGGAGACAGUAUUAAGGACUGGCUGUGCAGGAGGACUCACCCGGGUUCUGCGCCUGCCUGCCCGGAGCUCUGCGUGCACGUUGAAGUCGUCCCUCCCCAUCCUCACACUUUUCUCGAGGUGACAUAAUUCCUGCCACUUUCGUCAUUGCCUACGUCUGACAGAACAGCUGGAGCAGGGCUAAGUGUUUGGAUUCCAGCCUGUUCAAAGAACUAUUUUUUGCUUUGGAAGACCACCCUACUGAUGGGCUUAGGAUCUGGGCACCCUUUGGCACAAUUCCCACAUGUGGAAUUUAAGAAAGCUUUACCGAUAUGUUUCGGCAGAGACUGAGAUGCAUGAAACAGAGACCUAGACCUGUCCAUGAAGAUUUUCAAAGAUUCAUCCGAAGAUUAGAAAAAAGAAAAAAAGAUGGCCCAUAAAUACCCACUACCAACAUAGUAAUGAAUUUCCUGAGAAGAUCAUUACCUGUUGGUUGGAUCCUCAGAGUUGUUUGAUCCGUCUGCUUUUUCGUGAUUAAAGUCCAGGUUUCAUCUGGA